GGGCGCGGAGGAGUCCGGCGGGCGUGGGGACCGAGCUCCGGGCCUUGCGCCCCUAACCUGGCUGCCUGGAGAGGGACCCCCGCCCAGGCCCCGCCCCAGCCUCAGUUUCUCCCUGUGAGGUCGGGCGAGGACGAUGGCGUCUGGGCUCAGCCCUGGCGUCGGGUCCCUGCCUCCCCUCGCUCGCCAUCCCCACCCCUUGGCCGGCUCGGAGGUGCGGUGCUGCCCCGUGGGGAACCUCCGCCCUCGACUCCCGCAGUCUCCUCCGCCAGGAGUCCCCCUCUUCCCCUCGGCCUCCUGCCAUCUUCCCCGGCCUCCGGUCACCAUUCUGCGCCUGUGCCCCACCCCCUCCAGCCUGAACUCAUUUCCCGACCUACAUAUGCGGCCCCUUCCCCCAGUACUAGGGCCCGGGCAGCCUGUGACCGGGAGCGCUGAGGACAGCAGCCCCCGCCAGGAGCCUGCCCGGCUUUGGGCCUCAGUUUCCCGCUGUCGUGUGUGGGCGGAAGCCGGGGAGGGGCAGGAGUGGCUGCCGCCUGUGCGCUGCUUUCGCUCCGGGAGAGGCCUCGCGCGUGCGGUGCCGACCUGGGGCCGCCGAGCACCCGGCGCCAGCCCCGACCCCCUGCGAUUCCCGGGCCUCCCCGCCCGGCUGCGUCGCGCAAUGUCCAGGGGCUCCUUUCCCUAGUGCCGCGCCCCGCCUCAGUUUCCCCCGAGCAUAAGGUGGCCGGGGAUGCUCCGGGCGCCCGGGCUGGGCACGGCGGGGUGGCGGCCGCGGCCAUCUUGCGGCUCCGCGCUGGCCCCCCCUCCCAAGGCUGCCGCCCCCGCGCCCCCUCCCCGCCGCUCCCUGGCAACCCGCCCCCCCAGCCGCGGCCUGCUCCGCGGUCGCCAUGGGAACCAGCUUCUCGGGGCCGGGAACAGAUCCGCCUCCUUUGUCCCUUGCACUCCCACCAGCGCUCAGCACCGGGGGACCUCCACCUCCCAGAGUCGUGGGAGUCGUGACCCGGGGACACGCACCCAGCCCCUGCGCCCUCCCCCGCGCGCGGGCAGCGGGAGGUCUCCCUCUACCCAACCAUGGCGGGGUGGGCCCUACCAGGGUGUAGCUGAACUUGUUGGGGCAGGGGUAGUGAUGGGGCGGAGAGGGCGUCUGGAUCCCUCUGGAGCUGGCCGCUUCGCCUCGUUGUCCCCAUUCCUCCGAGUGCUUGCCCUUCCCGUCGCGGAGCUCCAGGGACUGGCGUUAUCUUGCAGGACAGGCCGCACCGGCUGUGUGCGGUUGUGAUGGGCACAGGCGCACCCUCAGAGGGCCAGGCCUCCUCCCCUGCCAUGGGGAUGUAAGAUGGAGGUCCAGAGAGAGCCCCCCCGGGCCCUCUCGCCAGAGCCAAGCCGGGUGGAGGCUAUCUCUGGCUCUGUCACCUCUCCAUGAGUCACUGGCCCCUGUGUGGGCUCCUGGUCCCGCAGGGAAGACCUGGCUUGUCUGCAGUGGCUCCUGGAGGAGAAGCAGGCCUAGCUGGAGCUGACCAGGCCUCCUCCCUACAGGGCCCUCCUCCCCAGUUCAGAAUGCAGCCCACAGCCACCAUGGCCACAACUGCUGCCGCCGCCACCACCACCACCACCACCACCACCACCACUGCCACAGUAGCCCUGACGACGUCGUGGGACAACGCCACUGGACGCCCCACGGCAGAGCCAGACCCCAUCCUGGACAACUACGUGCUGCUGGUGGUGGUGAUGUCGCUGUUCGUGGGGGGCACGCUGGUGGUGUUGUCCGGCGUCCUGCUCCUCUGCAAGCGCUGCUGGGACGUCCACCAGCGCCUCAACAGGGCCAUGGAGGAAGUGGAGAAGACCACCACCACCUAUCUGGACAACGGCACCCACCCGGCCCAAGACCCCGACUUCCGGGGGGAGGACCCCGAGAGCCAGGAUGCGGAGACUGAGCGCUUCCUGUCCACCAGCUCCACUGGCCGCCGGGUUUCCUUCAACGAGGCGGCGCUGUUCGAGCAGAGCCGCAAGACGCAGGACAAGGGCCGCCGGUACACACUGACGGAAGGGGACUUCCACCACCUGAAGAAUGCCCGGCUCACACACCUGCACCUGCCGCCCCUCAAGAUUGUCACCAUCCAUGAGUGUGACUCGGGCGAGGCCAGCUCGGCCGCCACGCCCCACCCAGCCACCUCUCCCAAGACCACCUUGGCCAUCUUCCAGCCCCCGGGGAAGGCCCUCACGGGCCGCUCCGUGGGCCCCAGCUCCGCCCUGCCAGGUGAUCCCUACAACUCUGCCGCGGGCGCCACUGACUUUGCGGAGAUCAGCCCCUCGGCAUCUAGCGACUCUGGGGAAGGCAUCUCGUUGGAUGCCAGUACCAGGAGCACCAAGGCUGGAGGGCCCGGGGCUGCAGCAGGACCUGGGGAGGUGGGCCCGGGAUCCGGGACGGGUACCGUUCUGCAGUUCCUCACCCGCCUGCGCCGCCAUGCCAGCCUGGACGGGGCCAGCCCCUACUUCAAGGUCAAGAAGUGGAAGCUGGAGCCCAGCCAGCGGGCAGCCAGUCUGGACACGAGAGGUUCCCCCAAGCGGCACCACUUCCAGCGGCAGCGGGCAGCCAGUGAGAGCACGGAGCAGGAGGAGGGGGGCGCCCCCCACGAGGACUUCAUCCAGUACAUCGCCAGGGCUGGUGACGCCGUGGCCUUCCCACGCCCCCGUCCCUUUCUGGCCAGCCCGCCCCCUGCUCUCGGCAGGUAUUUUUCAGUAGAUGGAGGUGCUAGGGGUGGACCUGUGGGCCCUUGCCCCGCUUCGCCCCCCCACUAGGCGGCCCAGGGAGCGCUCUCCAGGCCCCGUGGACACGCGCUCACCCGCCUCCAGCAGCAAGGCCCCUCCGAGAGGCUGACUCACUGGGGCCACCUCUCCAGCAUGGACCAGAGGAGGGAAGCAGGGAGAAACUGGGCUAGAGGCGGCCGAGGCAGCGGGAGAAGCGAGCCCCGAUUCUCCCCCGGAGCGUGGCGCGGGCGGCGCGGGGCCUGAGCAGCAGCAGCCGCCACUGGAGCCGGACGCCGAGCGGGACGCGGGCCCCGAGCAGGCCCAG